rnacentral:rRNA from 1 species
GAUUUUAUUUGUUUUAGACAGUAGUUUUUUGUUUAAAAUAGACCAGGUGAUUUUUUUGAAAAGUUUUAUUCUUGCUUAUUUAUUCAUUUUUUCUUUGUAUUAUAUGCAAGUUUUGUAAAACUAAAAGUUCUUUUUGCAGUGAUUUAAUUUAAUUAUCAAGUAAUUUUGGAAUUAGUAAUUGAUUUAGUAUUGGCAUAAUUCGUGCCAGCAGCCGCGGUUAUACGAUUAAUGCAAGUGAAUAUAUUUGGUUAAAACAGUUGUUUUUAUAUUUAGGAUUAAUUUAGAGGUUUAUAAGGUGAAAUUUUAAAAUUUUUUUAUGAUUCUUAUUUUAUGAUUCUGUGAAACUUAAAUAAUAAACUAGGAUUAGAUACCCUAUUAUUUUAAGUGUUAAUUUUGCUUACCUGGGUAGUAAUUAGUUAGGAUCUUAAAACCCAAAGAAUUUGGCGGUAUCUUAUUCCAUUUAGAGGAACCUAUCCCGUAAUUGAUAAUACACGAUUAACUUUACUUAAUUUAUUUGUUUGUAUAUCUCCGUUAACAGAAAAUCUUUUUGGAGUUAUAAUUUUCUUAAUUUGUAAUUUUAAAAUAUUUCAGGUCAAGGUGCAGCUUAUAAUUAAGAGGAGAUGGGUUACAAUAAAUUUUAGUUUAUUACGUAUUUGAUAGUGAAAUACUAUUAAUAAAGGUGGAUUUAAUAGUAAUUUAAUUUAUUUAAUUUAAUUGAUAUUGGCUCUGGGGUGUGUACACAUCGCCCGUCACUCUCAUUAUUGAUUAAUCUAUUUUAAUUUUAAGUUAGUUUCAAUUUAGAUGAGAUAAGUCGUAACAUAGUAGAUGUACUGGAAAGUGUAUCUAGAAAGUU